CACGGGGGGGAGCAAGCGUUGUUCGGAAUCACUGGGCGUAAAGCGCGUGUAGGCGGUUAGGUAAGUGGGAUGUGAAAUACUCCGGCUCACCCGGAGAACUGCAUCCCAAACUGCCUAGCUUGAGUAUGGGAGAGGAUGAGGGAAUUCCUGGUGUAGCGGUGAAAUGCGUAGAUAUCGUAAGGAAGACCAGUGGCGAAGGCGGGUCUCUGGACAGUUCCUGGCGCUGAGGCACGAAGGCCAGGGGAGCAAACGGG
rnacentral:rRNA from 1 species